ensembl:lncRNA LINC02946 long intergenic non-protein coding RNA 2946
GACUCAUCCUUCAGAAAUCUAGACACGAGGGAAACAGUGCAAAGCUAGUCUAACCUGGCCUUAGGAUUUGUUCUGCUCAGAGCACCACCAGGCCUACUUCAUCUGUCUGCUAUGUUCUUCAUUCUGUGCAAUAUCAAAACGGAGAAAUAUCCAUCACAUGCAGCUAAACAAGAACUGCCCUCAAGAUAAGCAAGAUUAAAACAAUUACAACUCACCCAGCUCACGGACGCUGAGUAACUGACCCCUGUUGCACCAGCCGUAACUACAGCUUUGAUUGGAUGGGAGACUGACUCCAGUAACUUUCUCCUGAUAAGAGACCACCGGCCAUGGACUGGUUCUGGCUGGUUUGCAGAAAGUACAUUCAUCCGCCUUCAUGUCCUGAAAAGACCUUUUGAGGUAUGGGGCCUAAUUUUAAUACAUUUAAAUGUUAAAUCUCCACCCCAAAGUGAACCUGGGUUGUAUGUUACAUGCAUGUUUGUUCAAUAUGCAUGUGUCGGGACUACCUUCAUGAAUAUUCGUAGUUCUUCCUGUAACCUGUUGAAUACGUAUGUUUGGCCACCCUGUCCAGCAUGAAGCUUCUGUCCCAGCCCCUCCUCCUUCGAAGUGCCUGACUCCGGUCUUGGCCAGAGGCACACUUCUGAGCCUGCAGGAUGGCCACCUUGCAGGCUGUAACCCUUUACAAGAAAUAAAAUCUCCUCUCCUCACAAUUUAUAAA